rnacentral:lncRNA from 1 species
ACCCUAGUAACCGCGUCCACGUGUGGCUGUGACCACAGUCCUUCUGCUCCUCCCCAGGUGGCAGCAACCCCAAGCCUGCUUCAUUCACAGCUGCAUCACCGGGACCCAGCAGGGGCAUGCCACGUGGUGAGUGUUCUAGAAUGUUCUACACACCGCUUCAGAAUGACAGAGUGAAUGUGGACAAUGAUUCCGCUCAGCACCUGGAGCUGUCUGAAUAAGAAGAGGCCUGCAAAUGCCCCACCUGAUGGCUGCCCCCCAGGGCACCGGCUGUUGGAGUGCCGGUCCAGGGUCCAACAUUUAGUAACCAACAUCAAAUGUACUUGUCUCUCCUAAGCUGCACAGACUGCCAAGAGACAGGGGUCUCCCUCUGUCACCCAGCUGAGACUACAGGCACGCGCCACCAUGCCUGGCUAUUGUAUCAUCUUGAUGGAAGUAUCUAAGCUCGCCAAGCUUGCUUUCUUUGGGAAAAUGCAGUUAUCAACAUGUAUCCUAAGUGUUUUUCAUGAGGAUAACACAGACGGGUGUGUAUAAGGUGCCCACACAGCACUAGGCAUACAGCAGAGAGUCAACCCAUCUUGGCCUCCCUGCCUCUCCUGGCCCCUCACCCCUAGCACUUGCCCACCCUUUCAGUCUCAAGGAGGAACGGCCACAAGGGCAGCCCUGAGUACACAGCAUGAGAACACAGUCUCUCGUCAGGUCUUCGCCGCAAAUCUCUCUCCAGAGGAUCGUGGCUGAGGCACCAUGGAAUGCUGCUGUUCUACUGGAGAUGAAAUUUCAUCCAAAAGAAAAAGGGAAAAGUAUCCAAAAGUCUUUCUAGUCUCCAGGCAUUUAGAAAAGCUUUAGAACAAGAUCUGCACUGGCACAAGAAUUUGAGUGGAAAUCACCCUGCCCAGCUGUGAGCCCCGGGGCGGGUGAGCCACACACUUGGAUCUCACUGCAGUUGUGGCCUCUGGGAAGAAGGCUUUGAAUGCAGAUUUUAAACAGGAGGCCUGGGCCUGAAACUCCACACCCCACCAGCUGACACACUGUGCGUGACCUGGAACUAGAAAUGACCUUCUCACAGGGCAGAUGGCCACCCACGGGGGAUGCCUUGUUAGAAAGCCUCUCCAAAGACCUGGGAGAGUCAAAUCCUGACACAAACAUAUCAAAGAAAUGUUCUACUUUACUAGAAAUUUUGUUUAAAACAUACAAGUUAAAAUCAGCGGCUGAGCAUGGUGGCUCACACCUAUAAUCUUAGCUACUC